CCUUUAUUCCCUGCAACAGAGGAAAAUGAUAGAGAUAAAAAAAAAUUAAUAAAUAUAUAUAUAUAUAAUUUUUUAUUUUUUUUUAUUUUAUUUUUAUUAUCUCUAUCAUUUUCCUCUGUUGCAGGGAAUAAAGG